rnacentral:rRNA from 1 species
CCUACGGGUGGCUGCAGUGGGGAAUAUUGGACAAUGGGCGAAAGCCUGAUCCAGCCAUGCCGCGUGUGUGAAGAAGGCCUUCGGGUUGUAAAGCACUUUCAGUGGGGAAGAAAGCCUUGGGGCUAAUACCCUCGAGGAAGGACAUCACCCACAGAAGAAGCACCGGCUAACUCCGUGCCAGCAGCCGCGGUAAUACGGAGGGUGCGAGCGUUAAUCGGAAUUACUGGGUGGAAAGCGCGCGUAGGCGGUCUGAUAAGCCGGUUGUGAAAGCCCCGGGCUCAACCUGGGAACGGCAUCCGGAACUGUCAGGCUAGAGUGCAGGAGAGGAAGGUAGAAUUCCCGGUGUAGCGGUGAAAUGCGUAGAGAUCGGGAGGAAUACCAGUGGCGAAGGCGACCUUCUGGACUGACACUGACGCUGAGGUGCGAAAGCGUGGGUAGCAAACAGGAUUAGAUACCCCAGUAGUC